rnacentral:rRNA from 1 species
UCUGUGGGGACACGUGUGGAGAGCACAAGCCGGAAAUGGAAAAGCCGGUGCAAGCGAGGUAGGAGUACAGUAGGCAAAUCCGCUGUACAAUCCGAAGACGUGAUGCGGACCGAAUUAAGAGUAGGGAAGUGUGUGAGCCAUGCGUCAAGAAAAGCCGCUAUUGUUUUACUUAAGCCCGUACCGUAAACCGACACAGGUGGAUGAGGAGAGAAUCCUAAGGCCGACGGGAGAAGCAUUGUUAAGGAACUCGGCAAAAUGACUCCGUAACUUCGGGAGAAGGAGUGCCAGCGAGAGCUGGCCGCAGAGAAUUGGCCCAAGCAACUGUUUAGCAAAAACACAGGUCUAUGCAAACCGUAAGGUGAAGUAUAUGGGCUGACGCCUGCCCGGUGCUGGAAGGUUAAGAGGAGAGGUUAGCGGUAACGCGAAGCUUUGAAUUUAAGCCCCAGUAAACGGCGGCCGCAACAAUAACGGCCCUAAGGUAGCGAAAUUCCUUGUCGGGUAAGUUCCGACCCGCACGAAAGGCGUAAUGAUUUGGGCACUGUCUCAACAAUGCACCCGGUGAAAUUGAAAUACCAGUGAAGAUGCUGGUUACCUGCGCCAGGACGGAAAGACCCCAUGGAGCUUUACUCCAGCUUGAUACUGGGAUUCGGUAUUGCAUGUACAGGAUAGGUGGGAGGCUAGGAAGUGAUAACGCCAGUUGUCACGGAGCCGCUGUUGGGAUACCACCCUUGCAGUAUUGGAUUUCUAACCAGCGACCAUGAACUGGUCGGGGGACAAUGUCAGGUGGGGAGUUUGACUGGGGCGGUCGCCUCCGAAAGGGUAUCGGAGGCGCUCAAAGGUUCCCUCAGAAUGGACGGAAACCAUUCGAAGAGUGCAAAGGCAGAAGGGAGCUUGACUGCGACACCGACGGGUGGAGCAGGUACGAAAGUAGGACUUAGUGAUCCGGUGGUAUAAAGUGGGAUUGCCAUCGCUCAACGGAUAAAAGCUACCCUGGGAUAACAGGCUUAUCACUCCCAAGAGUUCACAUCGACGGAGUGGUUUGGCACCUCGAUGUCGGCUCAUCGCAUCCUGGGGCUGAAGUAGGUCCCAAGGGUUGGGCUGUUCGCCCAUUAAAGCGGUACGAGCUGGGUUCAGAACGUCGUGAGACAGUUCGGUCCCUAUCCGGCGUGGGCGUAGGAUAUUUGAGAGGAGCUGUCCUUAGUACGAGAGGACCGGGAUGGACUGGCCGCUGGUGUAUCUGUUGCAUACCAAAUGCAUGGCAGAGUAGCCAAGCCGGGACGGGAUAAACGCUGAAGGCAUCUAAGCGUGAAGCCCCCCUCAAGAUGAGAUAUCCCUACGUAAGUAGUAAGACCCCUUGAAGACGACGAGGUAGAUAGGUCAGAGGUGGAAGUA